AAAUUGAAGAGUUUGAUCAUGGCUCAGAUUGAAUGCUGGCGGCAGGCCUAACACAUGCAAGUCGAACGGUAACAGGAAACAGCUUGCUGUUUCGCUGACGAGUGGCGGACGGGUGAGUAAUGUCUGGGAAACUGCCUGAUGGAGGGGGAUAACUACUGGAA
rnacentral:rRNA from 1 species